AGGUAGCGUAGUUGGUAGCGCGCCGGCUUGUGGUACUCGCGACACAGGUUCG
rnacentral:tRNA from 1 species